GUGUAUGGCCAUGCUACCCUGGACAAGCCUGAUGUCUGAUCUUGGAAGCUAAGCAGGGUUGGGCCUGAUUAGUAUUUGGAUGGGAGACCACCUAGGAAGACCAGGUGCUGUAGCAU
rnacentral:rRNA from 1 species